GUAGGUGAACCUGCGGAAGGAUCAUUACCGAGUGAGGGCCCUCUGGGUCCAACCUCCCACCCGUGUCUCUUGUACCUUGUUGCUUCGGUGGGCCCGCGCCCGCCGAAGACACCCCUGAACGCUGUCUGAAGAUUGCAGUCUGAGCAGAUUAGCUAAAUCAGUUAAAACUUUCAACAACGGAUCUCUUGGUUCCG
rnacentral:misc_RNA from 1 species